CCUACGGGCGGCAGCAGUCGAGAAUCAUUCACAAUGGGGGAAACCCUGAUGGUGCGACGCCGCGUGGGGGAAUGAAGGUCUUCGGAUUGUAAACCCCUGUCAUGUGGGAGCAAAUUAAAAAGAUAGUACCACAAGAGGAAGAGACGGCUAACUCUGUGCCAGCAGCCGCGGUAAUACAGAGGUCUCAAGCGAUGUUGGGAAGCACUGGGCGUAAAGCGUGCGUAGGCUGUUUCGUAAGUCGUGUGUGAAAGGUGCGGGCUCAACCCGCGGACGGCACAUGAUACUGCGAGACUAGAGUAAUGGAGGGGGAACCGGAAUUCUCGGUGUAGCAGUGAAAUGCGUAGAUAUCGAGAGGAACACUCGUGGCGAAGGCGGGUUCCUGGACAUUAACUGACGCUGAGGCACGAAGGCCAGGGGAGCGAAAGGGAUUAGAUACCCGAGUAGUC
rnacentral:rRNA from 1 species